CGGCCGGCGGGGCCGGUUCGCUGCGGGCCGGGGGGCGCGGAGCCUGCGGCGCUCCCCAGGACGGCCGGCGCUGCCGAGGCCCUGAAUUAGGACUGGUCAGCACCAUGCAAACGCCAGGAAGCUGUGCCUGGGUUUCACUGUGUUGGCGGGUACCUGAGGUGACUGAGAGUGAGGUGCACCAUGUCUUUGCCCUGCCCCUGCAGUACCAUGACUCCGCAGGGAUGUGCAGCAGCUGUUGGAAAUGCCCCUCAGCCUGCAGGAGCUGGGACAGACCCCAAUGAGUGCAGCAUCCAGCUGAAAUUCCAGGGAGGAUUUUACACUGCGUGACACACACUGGAUCCAGGAGGAUCAGAGAGCUCUGCAUUAUCCAGCAUAUGAGGUUUCUAGGUAGAAAGCUGAGGCCUACCACUUCUUGGGGCCUCUCCAAGAAGGAAAACAGUCUAAUGUUAUGUAAUAGUCUGUAGCCAUGACCAUGAAGCACCUUGUGGUUACCUGAGGCCAAGCACAGCAUUUUCAGAAUAAUAUCCCCUGAAGCGAUUUGUUUAAUAGCUUUCUAUUGUGCUGGUGAAUAUUCCUGGCAAAAUCCACAUUUAAAGAGAAUUAAAGUCAAGAACAGUUAUCAAUGACUCUAGGCCACAAAGCAUUACAGAACUGUUUUAAGUACCCCAAUGAACAGGAUUUGCAAAACUGAGGGAUUUUAGAAUUGCAGUGAAACUCCUCAGAAAUCUGAACUAAACAAAGGAUAGAUAAAGGUCACUGAGAGUCUUCUGUCUCGUAUUGUUCUUUAUGUAUUCCUCUGAACACUGCACACAAGUUUCACAGGGGACAUACUUCAGAACUUUAUCUUCCCACUUUUCUUGUCGUAUUUAUCAGUGUUCUUCCUCUAUAGCAUGAAUUAUUGUUCCAUUUGUUGGCCACAUUCUCUUCUCUUUUAUUCUUCUGCAGUGCUAGGUGAUAAUAUGUUUGAAGAAUUGGUUUUCUCAUUAAAGAACUCAAGGUUG